UGGAUAGAGCGCUGCCCUCCGGAGGCAGAGGUUUGGGGUUCGAGUCCCUUCGGGCG
rnacentral:tRNA from 1 species